AUUGAACGCUGGCGGCAGGCUUAACACAUGCAAGUCGAGCGGGGGAAGGUAGCUUGCUACCGGACCUAGCGGCGGACGGGUGAGUAAUGCUUAGGAAUCUGCCUAUUAGUGGGGGACAACAUCGCGAAAGGGAUGCUAAUACCGCAUACGUCCUACGGGAGAAAGCAGGGGAUCUUCGGACCUUGCGCUAAUAAAUCGGCCUAAGUCGGAUUAGCUAGUGGGUGGGGUAAAGGACUACCAAGGCGACGAUCUGUAGCGGGUCUGAGAGGAUGAUCCGCCACACUGGGACUGAGACACGGCCCAGACUCCUACGGGAGGCAGCAGUGGGGAAUAUUGGACAAUGGGGGGAACCCUGAUCCAGCCAUGCCGCGUGUGUGAAGAAGGCCUUAUGGUUGUAAAGCACUUUAAGCGAGGAGGAGGCUACUUUAGUUAAUACCUAGAGAUAGUGGACGUUACUCGCAGAAUAAGCACCGGCUAACUCUGUGCCAGCAGCCGCGGUAA
rnacentral:rRNA from 1 species